rnacentral:rRNA from 1 species
CGAGUGGCGAACGGGUGAGUAAAGUAUCGGAACGUACCUUUCAGUGGGGGAUAACGUAGCGAAAGUUACGCUAAUACCGCAUAUUCUGUGAGCAGGAAAGCAGGGGAUCGCAAGACCUUGCGCUGAUUGAGCGGCCGAUAUCAGAUUAGCUAGUUGGUGAGGUAAAGGCUCACCAAGGCGACGAUCUGUAGCGGGUCUGAGAGGAUGAUCCGCCACACUGGAACUGAGACACGGUCCAGACUCCUACGGGAGGCAGCAGUGGGGAAUUUUGGACAAUGGGGGCAACCCUGAUCCAGCCAUGCCGCGUGAGUGAAGAAGGCCUUCGGGUUGUAAAGCUCUUUCAGCCGGGAAGAAAUCGCAUCAGCUAAUACCUGGUGUGGAUGACGGUACCGGAAUAAGAAGCACCGGCUAACUACGUGCCAGCAGCCGCGGUAAUACGUAGGGUGCGAGCGUUAAUCGGAAUUACUGGGCGUAAAGCGUGCGCAGGCGGUUUUGUAAGACAGGCGUGAAAUCCCCGGGCUCAACCUGGGAACUGCGUUUGUGACUGCAAGGCUAGAGUAUGGCAGAGGGGGGUGGAAUUCCACGUGUAGCAGUGAAAUGCGUAGAGAUGUGGAGGAACACCGAUGGCGAAGGCAGCCCCCUGGGCCAAUACUGACGCUCAUGCACGAAAGCGUGGGUAGCAAACAGGAUUAGAUACCCUGGUAGUCCACGCCCUAAACGAUGUCAACUAGGUGUUGGGUGGGUAAAACC